GGAGCGGAGAGUCUUGCACCUUGGGGCGCGCUGCCUAAGGUGGUCAGGGAGACGCAGAGAAGCCGGAGCCAGCGCCUGGGGUACAGGGUUGCUGUCCACUUUAUAUGUUGGACCUACACCACGCUGAUUCAGCUAAACUACCCCAGGGCUUCUCUUGUCUCUGCCUCGCCAGCUCUGGGAUUACAGUUGACAAUGUUUUUCACAUUGGCGUUUCAAGUAUGGCAUUCAAGUAUGGUGUUUCUCAAGUGUCUCACCGGAAGGUCACAGAUAAGAGACAGAAACAAACUUAUGGUCAUUGAGUUUGGGAAACCCUGGAACAGCUGGAGCUUCCCCUCUGAAGCAUUGGCCUCUCUGACUGCGCCCAGCAGAGACGGUUCCUGUAUCUGUAAUGGUGUGUGUCACUGGCGGCCUGCUCAGCAUUCCCAUAUCUGCAAUGAUGUGUGUCACUGGCAGGAUUGUCCUGUGUCUCUCACACUGUCUGCUCAGUCCUCCACGCUCCAGUUUCAAUCCUACCAGACCUGGGAGAACAGAAUGAAGCUUCCCCCCCACUCCCGUGCAGAUUUAUCUUGAUUGACCUGACGCUACUUGGAUCUCAAGUGAAGCUUUUGUUUGAAAUGUGUUUGUAUCAGACCCUAGGGCCAGUCAAUAUUCCUGUUCUACAGAUGAGGAACCUGAGGCUCUGGAAACCAAGCGGUUGCUGAUGUUACACAGACACCAAAGGGCAGAGCUUGGGGUCCACAAUAGGGUGUAACUCUAGUCUCCUGACUGUUCUGGACACUGUGCUGAGACAUCUCCCUGCUGGCCUGGUCUUCAGGAGACCAGAGGUCACAGUUGUCCUUGGCCCUUGGGAAAAAGUAAAGGGACAAGAUGCUCUAGGAGUGGCAGGAGACCUACUGUUAUCUGAGGGCAUCUCCCUCCAAGUCUCAAAGUCUGCUUUUCAAUGAGAGGGUUCACCUAGAUCAGAGCCAAAUCCCACUUACAAGAAUGAACACAGACACACACACAUGCGCGAGCACGCGCACACACACACACAUGCAUGUACACACGUGAGUCACACACGUACGCGCACUCAAAUGCAUGAAUUGGGGAAAAAACAGCCCCAAGACUUAGAUGUAAGCAGUAUCCCAUGGUGCUUGGGGGCAUUUGCCCCAAGGGAUCCUCUGUAGGUUUCUCAUGUGCAUUUUAAAAAAUUAUUUAUUUAUUGUACAGUGUACAUGAGUACACUGUAGUUGGCUACUCAAAUCCUUGAUUAAAGACCUGGGUUGAUCUUG
rnacentral:lncRNA from 1 species